rnacentral:rRNA from 1 species
CUCAGGAUGAACGCUAGCUACAGGCUUAACACAUGCAAGUCGAGGGGCAGCAUGGUCUUAGCUUGCUAAGGCCGAUGGCGACCGGCGCACGGGUGAGUAACACGUAUCCAACCUGCCGUCUACUCUUGGACAGCCUUCUGAAAGGAAGAUUAAUACAAGAUGGCAUCAUGAGUCCGCAUGUUCACAUGAUUAAAGGUAUUCCGGUAGACGAUGGGGAUGCGUUCCAUUAGAUAGUAGGCGGGGUAACGGCCCACCUAGUCUUCGAUGGAUAGGGGUUCUGAGAGGAAGGUCCCCCACAUUGGAACUGAGACACGGUCCAAACUCCUACGGGAGGCAGCAGUGAGGAAUAUUGGUCAAUGGGCGAGAGCCUGAACCAGCCAAGUAGCGUGAAGGAUGACUGCCCUAUGGGUUGUAAACUUCUUUUAUAAAGGAAUAAAGUCGGGUAUGGAUACCCGUUUGCAUGUACUUUAUGAAUAAGGAUCGGCUAACUCCGUGCCAGCAGCCGCGGUAAUACGGAGGAUCCGAGCGUUAUCCGGAUUUAUUGGGUUUAAAGGGAGCGUAGAUGGAUGUUUAAGUCAGUUGUGAAAGUUUGCGGCUCAACCGUAAAAUUGCAGUUGAUACUGGAUAUCUUGAGUGCAGUUGAGGCAGGCGGAAUUCGUGGUGUAGCGGUGAAAUGCUUAGAUAUCACGAAGAACUCCGAUUGCGAAGGCAGCCUGCUAAGCUGCAACUGACAUUGAGGCUCGAAAGUGUGGGUAUCAAACAGGAUUAGAUACCCUGGUAGUCCACACGGUAAACGAUGAAUACUCGCUGUUUGCGAUAUACUGCAAGCGGCCAAGCGAAAGCGUUAAGUAUUCCACCUGGGGAGUACGCCGGCAACGGUGAAACUCAAAGGAAUUGACGGGGGCCCGCACAAGCGGAGGAACAUGUGGUUUAAUUCGAUGAUACGCGAGGAACCUUACCCGGGCUUAAAUUGCAGAUGAAUUACGGUGAAAGCCGUAAGCCGCAAGGCAUCUGUGAAGGUGCUGCAUGGUUGUCGUCAGCUCGUGCCGUGAGGUGUCGGCUUAAGUGCCAUAACGAGCGCAACCCUUGUUGUCAGUUACUAACAGGUUCCGCUGAGGACUCUGACAAGACUGCCAUCGUAAGAUGUGAGGAAGGUGGGGAUGACGUCAAAUCAGCACGGCCCUUACGUCCGGGGCUACACACGUGUUACAAUGGGGGGUACAGAGGGCCGCUACCACGCGAGUGGAUGCCAAUCCCCAAAACCUCUCUCAGUUCGGACUGGAGUCUGCAACCCGACUCCACGAAGCUGGAUUCGCUAGUAAUCGCGCAUCAGCCACGGCGCGGUGAAUACGUUCCCGAGCCUUGUACACACCGCCCGUCAAGCCAUGGGAGCCGGGGGUACCUGAAGUGCGUAACCGCGAGGAGCGCCCUAGGGUA